rnacentral:rRNA from 1 species
UUAAACUGAAGAGUUUGAUCAUGGCUCAGAUUGAACGCUGGCGGCAGGCUUAACACAUGCAAGUCGAACGGUAACGGGUUGAAAGCUUGCUUUCAAUGCUGACGAGUGGCGGACGGGUGAGUAAUGCUUGGGAAUCUGGCUUAUGGAGGGGGAUAACCAUUGGAAACGAUGGCUAAUACCGCAUAGAAUCGGAAGAUUAAAGGGUGGGACUUUUUGCCACCUGCCAUAAGAUGAGCCCAAGUGGGAUUAGGUAGUUGGUGAGGUGAAGGCUCACCAAGCCUGCGAUCUCUAGCUGGUCUGAGAGGAUGGCCAGCCACACUGGGACUGAGACACGGCCCAGACUCCUACGGGAGGCAGCAGUGGGGAAUAUUGCGCAAUGGGGGGAACCCUGACGCAGCCAUGCCGCGUGAAUGAAGAAGGCCUUCGGGUUGUAAAGUUCUUUCGGUGGUGAGGAAGGUUGGUGUGUUAAUAGCACACUGAUUUGACGUUAGCCACAGAAGAAGCACCGGCUAACUCCGUGCCAGCAGCCGCGGUAAUACGGAGGGUGCGAGCGUUAAUCGGAAUAACUGGGC